rnacentral:rRNA from 1 species
UACGAAGGGGGCUAGCGUUGCUCGGAAUCACUGGGCGUAAAGCGCACGUAGGCGGACUUUUAAGUCAGAGGUGAAAUCCCCGGGCUCAACCCGGGAACUGCGUCCGAUACUGGAAGGCUUGAAUCCGGGAGAGGGAUGCGGAAUUCCAGGUGUAGGCGGUGAAAUUCGUAGAUAUCAAGCGGAACACCGGUGGCGAAGGCGGCCUUCUGGACAGUGACUGACGCUGAGACGCGAAAGCGUGGGGAGCAAACAGG